rnacentral:lncRNA from 1 species
UUCUAAGGAGGGUUCUUAAAGAUUGUAUCAAAUUGUUGUUUCCAUAAUGUUAUAAAUGAUUUUAUUCUUGAAAUACUUUGAGUAUAUGAUUAUGUGGGAUAUAUGAUGAUAAUGAAUGAGUGGUUGAUCAUGUGAAUGGUAUUUAUGGACAUAAUUUCAUGAUCCUCGUGGAGAGGUUACACGGUGGUGCUUUAUGGUGUUGUUAAUAUGAAUGGUCGUAGAUGGAUGGUCAUGCCAUGGAGAGUAGUAGGAGGUCUUAACCUGGAGAGUAGCAGGAGGUCUUAGCUUGAGGGGC